rnacentral:misc_RNA from 1 species
GGGUGUCCAGGCGCCAGAUCGAGACCGACUGUGUCUCGCUGGUAGCUCAUGGGUGGAACAUUGACAUAGGUGCUGCAGGAUUCUGGCUGGUUCUAGUACGUCGCUUCGGUGACUGGAACGGAUCGGCUGGGGGAGGGCAGCAUAUGCACGCUGUUGGGUCCUGAGGGACCGGGCCGGCACUUUCUGGUGUCGUUUCGAACCUCUGGACCCUUUCCUUGUCUCCUUUGGGGGCUGGGGGAGGGUACCGCCCGUACUUUGAGAACUACACAGUGGACGCGAGCAUCUUAGAUUCGGACCCUUCGGGGUUCGUUUCACAGAUCUGAUUUAUUAGAUCAUUGGUCAAUCUGCGUCGAAUCGUCUUUCGGGAUGGUUUGGCGUCGAUCGAUUCUAAAACUCAUGUGAU